AUCCAGAUUAACAGUCAUAUUGUUUUCUUGAAAAGGCUUAAGAGGUUAACAUUCGAAGGAAAUUGUUUUGAGUGGAAUAAAAUUAAUGUUCUUUGCAAGUUGCCUAGAUUGGAGGUACUCAAGUUAAGUGGUGCCUUUGUAAGUGAAUUGUGGGAGCUAGCGGAGGAUGACAAAUUCUGCCAGUUAAUUGUUUUGAAAAUUGGUCCAACUGAUCUCAAGGAUUGGAAAGCCACUGGUGAUCAUUUCCCAAAACUUGAGCACCUCUCCCUUUUUUCAUGCAAGAAAUUGAAUAAGAUCCCUAGCGGGUUUGCAGAAAUUGAAGGAUUGAAAUCAAUCCAAUUUACGUGUUGUCGUCCUUCUGUGGUUGCUUCAGCCGAGGAAAUCAAGCAAGAUCAACUUGAUUAUUUGAAUAAUAUUGUGGAUGUGGUUGUGGCAGAGCAACAUGACUACUCUUCGGUUUCUGAGCCUGAGUCUGAUGAAUACGAGUCUGAUGAAGCUUAGUUUGAUGAAAAUGGGUUUUUCCAGAAGAGCAGGAGGAAAGCUUGAGAAAAAAUUGGUAGUUAAGCACAUUUAUCAUUGUGAAUCAUAAAAUUUGACUUUGCAACAUUGUACUGUGUAGUUCUGAGUGAGAAAGCGUUGCAUCAAUUUGUGCUUUUUGUUUUAAAACAUUUGCUUCUAUUUCAUUCAUAAGGUGGGUCAUGUGAUAUGCUUGAAGUUCAAUGUUUAUAUUGGUGUAAAAAUUUUGCCUUUUGCAGUUAAAUAUUUGCAGUUGAGUUAAA